rnacentral:miRNA from 2 species
GGCAGUCUCCUUGGCUAUU